rnacentral:lncRNA from 1 species
GGUGCGAUCGUUCUGAUGAAGAAAAGCCUAUGGUAGUGCAUCGAUUAGGAAGGAUCUUGGCCCACUUUCAUGUGGAUCACCAUUGGAGAGCUUCUAUUUUGGAGUCUCAUGGUGAUCACCAUCUUACCAUAUUACCCUUUUAAGAAAGUAUAAAAUUCUAUCUCUUUGCAUGCUUGUUUGUUUUUUGUUCAACAUCUACAAGGUGAUUCUAGAGUUUGGAUUUCAGUUC